GUAAAGAAGAGAGAGAAAAAAAAACAAGAAAGGAAAAAGAGGAGGAAGAAGAAAGAAGGGAAAAUCGACCAUAGAGCUUCACUGGAACUGGGUCUUAGUAUUUUGAGCCCAGAUUAAUGAUCAGUUCACCGAGUCUUCGAAUUGAGAUGGACCACAAGGGAGAGACAGUAUCAAAAACUACUGGCUAGCAGCAAUUUUCUGCCACAAGGGAAGGAACAAUUCCACUUGCAAGUGUUAUUCAUGCAAGGACAAUUGGAAGGGCUAUAAAUCUGCAAGGAAGUCAAUAUGUUGAUCUAGGAAACCAUCCCGAGGCUGCUGCCAAAGACUCGGCUCUUUAUGGAGACAAUCUUUGGGUCAAGGAGUUUGUUGCACGUGAGGAUGGUUGCGUGUGUGAUGUCUAUGCUUUUGGGGUACCCUGAAGAUGAUGUUAUCAUUUUCUCUUUUUGUUUCUUUUGGUAUAUUUAUUGGAUGUAUACCUAAGGGGUGAUUACUUGUAACUAUGUUUAGGCAAGUUAAACUUUUUUGGUGUAAAUAUGGUAUCAUCACUAGAAGUGCACCAGUGGUAUUAUUCU